AUGUGGCUUAGGACGUAUCGAAUGGUCCUCUCACUCGUCGGCCCAUCGACUGGUCGGCUAGCGUCGCAGCAAAGAAGCGACUUCCCGACCCCUCGCUCCCGGCGAUGGCGCCGACGGCGGGAAUCGGGGUCACUGUCCUCCGGCGCUUGCCCGGGGCGUUCCACGGGCAUCGACUGCCCCAGCGCGAGGGGUCUGAUGAGUUCCUGAGAGGCAAAGUAAGAUAAGAUUGGGAGAUUCAGGGGACGGGAUAUAUGUGGCUUGCUGAUUAUGAUUAAUCUUGACUGCUGAUAGUGAAUUUUGAGGACAGCUUUCUACCGGAGUCAACAUGCAUGAAGCUUGCUGCUAUUUCAAGUUUAACCAAUAAUUUCACCGGGGCAGCUGCAGAACUCUUCAAUCUAUGUUGCAUGCAUCAAAAAUGCAAAAAUUACUUUGCAGUUCAGUCCAGUGUGGCAUGCUGGAAUAUUCAUGUUCUAGGCUACAACCCGAUCCAACCAAAACCCUAAUGUGUCUAAUCGUUAUGGUUGGUCUAAAUCUUUAUGACGUUCUACGUGGUGGUGGAAAGUGGUAGUGCAGUUAUUUUAAGGGAUAAAAUGUUCUCUCUUUUAUGCACAGUCAUUUGUAUUGCUGCUUUUAAUCUUCAAGAGGCAUAUUUUUUGGCUGACUUGGUGGCCAACAAAAUCUAGCUGUCAUUGCAUUUUGAUGAU